GACGAACGCUGGCGGCGUGCUUAACACAUGCAAGUCGAACGGAAAGGCCCUGCUUUUGUGGGGUGCUCGAGUGGCGAACGGGUGAGUAACACGUGAGUAACCUGCCCUUGACUUUGGGAUAACUUCAGGAAACUGGGGCUAAUACCGGAUAGGAGCUCCUGCUGCAUGGUGGGGGUUGGAAAGUUUCGGCGGUUGGGGAUGGACUCGCGGCUUAUCAGCUUGUUGGUGGGGUAGUGGCUUACCAAGGCUUUGACGGGUAGCCGGCCUGAGAGGGUGACCGGCCACAUUGGGACUGAGAUACGGCCCAGACUCCUACGGGAGGCAGCAGUGGGGAAUAUUGCACAAUGGGCGGAAGCCUGAUGCAGCAACGCCGCGUGCGGGAUGACGGCCUUCGGGGUGUAAACCGCUUUCGCCUGUGACGAAGCGUGAGUGACGGGAAGGGGUAAAGAAGCACCGGCUAACUACG
rnacentral:rRNA from 1 species